AUUGAACGCUGGCGGCAGGCCUAACACAUGCAAGUCGAACGAGUGGCGGACGGGUGAGUACUGUCUGGGAAACUGCCCGAUGGAGGGGGAUAAAUACUGGAAACGGUAGCUAAUACCGCAUACCAUCGGAUGUGCCCAGAUGGGAUUAGCUAGUAGGUGGGGUAACGGCUCACCUAGGCGACGAUCCCUAGCUGGUCUGCGAGGAUGACCAGCCACACUGGAACUGAGACACGGUCCAGACUCCUACGGGAGGCAGCAGUGGGGAAUAUUGCACAAUGGGCGCUAGCCUGACGCAGCCAUGCAGCGUGUAUGAAGAAGGCCUUCGGGUUGUAAAGUACUUUCAGCGAGGAGGCGUUACUCGCAGAAGAAGCACCGGCUAACUCCGUGCCAGCAGCCGCGGUAAUUC
rnacentral:rRNA from 1 species